rnacentral:misc_RNA from 1 species
GGAGUGCUGGACCUACCAUCUGACUGGUUGCAUCAAAGGAUACAAAACAAUAAUGACAAUUAAAAAGUUGAAGAUAAAAUAUGUAUGAUUAAUAGAGAUAAAAGCAGGCCAUGGAUUAUCCCACAGUACAAUAGUCAGGGUUCAAAAGCCUUGUUUCCCCGUCAAGAAAACGAAGGAGAAAGAAAAAGGAAAGAAAUGGAACUAAGCAAGCAAUGCAGCAUAAAGACCAUAAAUAGUCCCUUCUCUCACUUGGAGCAGGAGUGCAGUAGGUCAAUCCAUGAAGUAUCUACACUUGAAACUAACUUUUGGUUCUGUAAUCAACUUUCUAGUCUGAAAUCAACAAGACACAAAACAUAAAAUGUCCUAGUUUUGCAUGCUCGUGGGGACUACACAAAUAAUCAUUUAUAAUAAUAAGAAGAAACCGCUUCUUUGAUACCAAUAACUAAAGAUAUUAUACCUACUCAACUUUAAAGUGGGUAAUAAUAAAAUUAAAAGAAAGUUUUCUCCUUGUAAAUCUAUAGCUAUUAGAGAAGAUUAGCAAACCAGGAAAAUAAGAAAUAGACUCCACUUUGCAUAUAAUGUCAGCCCAUAAAGUAUCUUUAGAAACAGACGAUCAGACUAUCAGAUUCAGAGCAGCAAAAUUAUACACACAAACACACACACACACAC